GUCUCUUUGAAUUUUUUUAAUAAAGAGUUGGGCCUGCUCGGUGAAUGUAGUUUAACAGCUGCGGUAUUAUAACUGUACUAAGGUAGCAUAAUAAUUUGCCUUAUAAAUUAGGGCUAGAAUGAAUGGUUUGACGAGAAUUUAACUGUCUCUAUUUUAUUUAUUAGAAGUUAAUUUUUAUAGUGAAAAAGCUUGGAUGAUUUAAAGGGACGAGAAGACCCUAUUGAGCUUGAUAUUAAUAUUUAAAUAUAGGGUUUUAUGUUUAUAAUUAAUUAUUUAUUAUAUAAAUGUUUAUUGGAGUGUAAUUUUGAUUGGGGUGAUCAAGGAAUAAAAAUUUAAUUUUGUAACUUCCUUAAAGUAGAUUUAUUUUAUUGAAUAAUAAACCAAAAUUUUUUGCUUAUAUGAUAAGUUACCAUAGGGGUAACAGCGUAAUUUUUUUUAAGAGUUCAUAUUGAAAAAAAAGAUUGCGACCUCGAUGUUGGAUUAAAAAUAACCUUAAGGUGUAGAGGCUUUAUUAGGUGAAUCUGUUCGAUUUUUAAAAUUUU
rnacentral:rRNA from 1 species